rnacentral:rRNA from 1 species
UACGUAGGGUGCGAGCGUUGUCCGGAAUUAUUGGGCGUAAAGGGUGCGUAGGCGGGUUUUUAAGUCAGGGGUGAAAUCCUGGAGCUCAACUCCAGAACUGCCUUUGAUACUGAAAAUCUUGAGUCCGGGAGAGGUGAGUGGAACUGCGAGUGUAGAGGUGAAAUGCGCAGAUAUCAGGAGGAACACCGGUGGCGAAGGCGGGUCUCUGGGCCGACACUGACGCUGAGGAGCGAAAGCGUGGGGAGCGAACAGG